AAGGAUCAUUAAUGAAUUACCGAGUGGCACACCUGUGUGCGCUCACCCCUUUCAUUUCCAACUCUUGUGCAUUGUAUGUCCGUCGUCCGGCUCACGCCGACACGGCUCACCCUUUCAAACACCAGUCAAUGUAUGUCAUUUAAAAAACAAAUAAAACUUUCAACAACGGAUCUCUUGGCUCUC
rnacentral:misc_RNA from 1 species